AAGAGUUUGAUCAUGGCUCAGAUUGAACGCUGGCGGCAGGCCUAACACAUGCAAGUCGAACGGUAACAGGAAGCAGCUUGCUGCUUUGCUGACGAGUGGCGGACGGGUGAGUAAUGUCUGGGAAACUGCCUGAUGGAGGGGGAUAACUACUGGAAACGGUGGCUAAUACCGCAUAACGUCGCAAGACCAAAGAGGGGGACCUUCGGGCCUCUUGCCAUCAGAUGUGCCCAGAUGGGAUUAGCUUGUUGGUGAGGUAACGGCUCACCAAGGCGACGAUCCCUAGCUGGUCUGAGAGGAUGACCAGCCACACUGGAACUGAGACACGGUCCAGACUCCUACGGG
rnacentral:rRNA from 1 species